rnacentral:rRNA from 1 species
UUUAAAGUCUGACCUGCCCAAUGANNNNNNAAAUGGCCGCAGUAUUUUGACUGUGCAAAGGUAGCAUAAUCAUUAGUUUUUUAAAUGGAAGCUGGAAUGAAAGGUUUGAUAAGAAAAAAACUGUCUCAAAUAAAAAAUUAUAAUUUUAUGUUUAAGUUAAAAAGCUUAAAUUUUUUAAUAAGACGAGAAGACCCUAUAGAGUUUAAUAAUUUUAUUUUUAAUUAUAAUUAUAGAUUUUAAUUUAUUUUAAAUUUAAUGUUAUUUUAUUGGGGUGAUAAAAAAAUUUAAUAAACUUUUAAAUUUAAAUCCAUUAAUUUAUGAUUAGUUGAUCCUUUUUAAAGAUUAUAAGAAAAAAUUACCUUAGGGAUAACAGCGUAAUUUUUUUUAAGAGUUCUAAUCGAAAAAAAAGUUUGCGACCUCGAUGUUGGAUUAAAAUUUAAUUUUGGUGUAGAAGCUAAAAUAUUAGGUCUGUUCGACCUUUAAAAUUUUACA